UCCUCUUGGUUUUAUCGUAAGGCGGAGGUACUCCCUCGUACACCUUCAACCUCGCCAGGGCAGCUGCUCCUCUCUUGGUUUUAUGCGGAAUCAUCCUAAUUAACAGAUAAUACGUCAUAAUCAAUAACUCGUAGACUAAAAAUCUGGAGAUAAAACCGCCAAAAAAAGAUAGAAGGAAAAAACGAAAAAGAAAUGCAUAAGAAUAAACAUUAGACAACAGACUGACCCUCGGAUGGUGCGCCAGAGGAUUUUAGAAGGGGCGCGGAAAUGGAUAGGGCCAUGGGAAGGUUUGGUGUUCAUGCGCUUGCGGAGGAAUCGGAGGUACUUCAUUUUCUGACGAACGAGACCGCCGGAGAGGCAGAUCUCCUCACAUCGGACCACCACCACUUUCUGCCCAUUAAGCAGCUCCUUAGCUAUAAUGGACGCCAAUCGCCCCAGCAUGUGGUGGCGCGCGUCCACCACCACUCGCUUCGCACAAAUUCCUGAUCCCGACACCAUUUUUUGCUCCUUCCUUCCACACUACAGAAGACUCUCUCUCCGCUCUGCUCGCUGCGGAAGAAAGUGUGCG
rnacentral:lncRNA from 1 species